AUUUUAGUAGUUUAUGAAAAUUUUGAUUUGUGGAAUCAAAGAUGCAUAUUAUGCCUAGAAUA
rnacentral:tRNA from 1 species